UACGUAGGGUGCAAGCGUUGUCCGGAAUUAUUGGGCGUAAAGAGCUCGUAGGCGGUUUGUUGCGUCGGCUGUGAAAUCCCGGAGGCUCAACCUCGGGUCUGCAGUCGAUACGAGCAAACUAGAGUGUUGCAGGGGAGACUGGAAUUCCUGGUGUAGCGGUGAAAUGCGCAGAUAUCAGGAGGAACACCGGUGGCGAAGGCGGGUCUCUGGGCCAUAACUGACGCUGGAG
rnacentral:rRNA from 1 species